UGCAGCUAUUGUUAUUAAACAACAAUAUAAAUUAUAUUGUUUACAAUAUAAUUUAUAUUGUAAACAAUACAAAUAUUUUUUUUAGAUAUAUUAUACAUAUAAUAUAUCUAAAAAAAUCAACUAACACAAAAAAAUAGUACCAUUUUGUUGGGUCAACCCAGUUGGUCAAACAGUUGUGUUUCAUAUUUCCCUUAAAAUGGUGUGAGAUAUAGUGUGUAUAUUUCAGUAUGAGUUAUUAUAAGACAAUGAUUGAAAGAAAUUGACUUUGUUGAAUAUGCUGGAUUCUGACACAUUAGAAACUUAAAAAAAAAAUUAUUUAAAACAGUCAGCAAGUGGUUAGUAUAGUGGUUAAUUUUAACUCCACACAUUCUAUGUCGUCU